UACGUAGGGGGCAAGCGUUGUCCGGAUUUAUUGGGCGUAAAGAGCGUGUAGGCGGCUUAGCAGGUCAGCUGUGAAAACUCGAGGCUCAACCUCGAGACGUCGGUUGAAACCGCUUGGCUAGAGUCCGGAAGAGGAGAGUGGAAUUCCCGGUGUAGCGGUGAAAUGCGCAGAUAUCGGGAAGAACACCCGUGGCGAAGGCGGCUCUCUGGGACGGUACUGACGCUGAGACGCGAAAGCGUGGGGAGCGAACAGG
rnacentral:rRNA from 1 species